ACGGAAGCGCGUGCGAGGGGGUGCGAAUCGCCACCUCCGGCCUUGGCUUUCCCGCUCUUCCGAGCGCUCCCAUUUCUCACUUUCCCCAAAUCCGCAUUUUCCUUGGCACAGCCCUCCUGUUCGCCAAGGAGAGAGAGGGAGGUGCCCGGGGGCCGCGGGAAUGACGUGCGCUGGUGCAGAGGGGGUGGGGGCUGCGGGCUGGGCUCUCCACGUCCUAAUCCUCUUGUUUCGGAACCGUCAGCAGAUGUGGCUCCUCUCAGCCGAAUAAUCCGUUAAAGGAAUAAUAAUUUUCUUUUAAAAAAGGGAGAUCGACCUCACCCAGCGAGGACUAGGAACGAGAUCGGGGCUUGUAGAUCUACCGCCUUUGGUGGGGCUGGCUGAGAUGCUGCGAACUGCAAACAGUCUCUUAAAAAAGGAGGACAAAUAGAUGAAGACCUUGGGUGGACGCCGGAACAAAGCAGCGUGGGCUCUCGGGAGAGAAGGAACGCGCUGGAGCGCUGGCUCCGGACACGGACACGAGCGAUCUCCGCUGCCCAGCGACGCCCGCCCUGCGCGCAGACCUCUCAGGGUAUUCAGGAUGAAUUUUACUGAUCUUUUUGACAUAGCUUUAAGGGCCAGGCUUAGGGAUGGGGUUGGGGUUUUUGUUGUUUUGUUUUUUUCCGGGAAUAGAUGAAUCGAGGGAGAUCCGGGUGGCGCUAACUCGGCUUUCCUGUCCCCCUGCCUCGCCUUCAGAUGCGGGUAGGGGACAGGGGAGUGGGGACCAGAAGGCUUAAAAAAAGAGAAGCAGCCGGAUGCUGCCUUGCCGAGCUCAGGAGAUGGGUGGGCGAGGUGGAGGGAAGUGGGAUGGGCCAGCUGGAGGAGGGUGGCGACCCAGGAGGGGAUGCGUCUUGCCAGGAAUAAGAAUCCGGGGGUCCAGGAGAAACUGACAGGCCCAUAUCCGCGCAAAACGAGGCGACAGGAUUUGUGUGUAAACAAAGUGGGGAGGUAGAGGAGGGAGAGGACGAAGGGGGGUUCAAAGAAUGUCUUAUUGUCCCUUUGGCUCUGGGGGCUCUCCUCUGCUCCCUCUUUUUGACUCUGGGUCCAGCCUCAUUAUAUACCGGUGACCUUUUAAAUCUACGCCCACCUUUUGCCGCGUACAGCCCACCGGCAGCAAGGGUGGGGUGGGAGACUGUGGGGCGCCUCUCUCCCCUCACCCUGCCUCUCUCCCCUCCCCCUCCCUCUUCCUCUCCCUCCCGCUCCGUCUCCCUCGGCCCCCCUUCAUCUCUCUCUUCCUCCCUCCCACCUCCCUCGCUCGCUCCCUCCCUGCUACAUUUUGCAUGAGCUAUCUAGGUCAUUAGCAUUUUAGCGUAUGCAAGACUUGACAAAGCUGACGAGGAGCCAGAUGGGCCUCGCUCUUAUGGGGUUUUUUUUUUCUCCCUCUUUUCCUUUUUCUCUCUACCACUUGGGACCUGAGCGACAGGACUGGAUCCGGAGAGUUCCGGGAGGCCAAUUCCCCAGAUCCCGGCCCGGACCCAGAGCUCGCCCCUGCGGCACGCCCGGCCGGGGUGCGCUUGGACCCGGCCAUCCAGGAAAAGGCCUGGAUGCGGGCGAACAAAGAGCCUUCGGAAGACGUCGCCGUUAUCUCAUUGUCUGCGCGACUGGGGAGCUGCGGGGGGGGGGGGCUGCGGUCCGGCGCUCCCCGCCCCCACCCUCCGCGGUCGGCGCGCACGCACUCGCGCCGCUUUUAUUGCUCUUUCCCUUUCGCUCCUUCCACCUCUCCCCGCCCUCCCUUUCUUUCAUCUCCUUCCUUCCUCAGGAGAAAGGCCUCUCUCUCCGUGUUCACAGCGGACCUUGAUUUAAAUGUCCAUACAAUUAAGGCACGCGGUGAAUGCCAAGAAUGGGGCUGGCUGAGCACCUCGGGUCCGCGCGGCGCGGCCCGCCGAGGAAGGAAGGAGCCGCGGAGCCGGCUGGGCUAGCCCGCCCUGUGGCCCGCACCAGACCCGGACCUGCGCCCUCGCCCUCGCCCUCGCCCUCGCCCUCGGGGUGGGGAGGUGUGCGGCCCGAGACGAGAAGGGUUUGGAGAUGCGAAGAGACUCCCGGAGGGAGGCAGAAGUGAUCGGUGACCGAAACAGACUUGUGCUAGUGCGGGGCGGGGGGGGGGGGGGGCUCUUUUGCCAAGGGCCGCUGUGCUGCUUCUCUCUGAGCUCCCCUGCCUAGGACGUGGAUGGACCACUUCCUCCGUGGCUAUGUUUUUGUUCUGGAUUUAGCCUUUAGUUUGCCUUUUGGAUUAAAAAAAAAAAAAAUGUGGCAUUCAGGAGACUGGCAGACUGCCCCAGGGCCUGGGCUGUGCGUAGAUUGCGUUCUGCUUGAGGUUUGGGGCGGGGGUAGGGUGAGCAUUUGGACGCCGAGGGGGGCUGUUUGUCACCCUUGACUGCAGAGCUUGGGUAACUGACAAUCCUGAGGAACUCACUGGGCUCUGCAGACAAGAAGGAAUAAGCUCCUGGCCGCUUCAGAAGCUGCAUCAGGGCUGAAAGCCCAGCCAGGGCUCCAAGAGCCCUCCCUCCUGCCCUCCCUGCGGCUGUUCCUGCAGCUUCAGGCAGAUAUCCAGGCGCUGCAGAGCAAAGGCGGUGAGGCGCAGUAACCCACGCCUGCUGAAAGGAGGGAUGCAUUCCUUUAAAAAUGUGAACAGAAGGAAAGACAGCACUGUACAGAUGGGGGUCUGAGGAAAGGCUGUUUUGAAAGAGGCUGUCAGGGCAUGGAAAGGGUUAAGCUCCCCUCAUCCUGAGGACCCUGCUGCCCAAAUCAGGCUUUGCUCCUAUCACAGCCCUGGGCAGCAGCUGGUUCUGUAAACUCAUGUCGCAGUCCCAUCCCAGCCCCAGCCCAGAGUGAACGGCCAAGCUGCAGCGGAUGUUGCUAGACCUGAACUCAUUAAUUUCCAGGUGGAGAAAAUGGAGGAGGGGCAGAUCCCCACAGUAAAGGGAAGGGCAGGCAAAGGAGGCCAAGACUCAGGAAGCCUGCUUCAGCCACCCCCCCUCCCAGCAUGGCCAAGGCCUGUCCAGGCAAGGCAAGGCCACAACGGAUACCUAGGAGUUUAAUUUGAUUCCUGAUAAUGGUAAUCAAGACCUAAAUGAGUGUCUGCAGAAGCUCACUGAGGGUCUUCUCUCCAAAGCCUCCGUCUAGUCCAGUAAAUAAACUAGUGUUCAAUGACACCCAGGGUCAGACCCCUCCUGGCCUCUUUCCAUCGCAGGUAUUCCCUGAGUGCCUGCUAUGUGCCCCUCAUGGUGCAGUUAUUACAUCUUAGCUUCUUCCUUUCUGCCCUCCUAAGGGAGUGCUUGGAGUCAGACAGGCGGAGACUAAGUGUGCCGCACCCUACCUAAGUUCCUUCAGAACCUUCUCUGGGCCUAAGAAACUCGCCCCUGCAGAGAGAAGGCUGCAGUGUGCAUCAUGCAACUGCGGCUGCUGUGCUUCCCCUGAGUCCCGGAAGGUGAGCUUGGCACUAGGACAGGGAGGGAGAGCUGCUCUCACCCAAGCCUUAGCAAGGGUGGUCCCAAGAGAUAGCAGCCAUUGGCUCCAGCAUGUGCGUCCCUUGACACCAGAGCCCACCUGAUCGUAGGUGCCUUCUGCCCUUUCUGAAUGAGGAGAGCGGCUAGGGUGCUGUUCUUUCCUGGGGGUGCAUCCCCUGCCCCCACCACAAUCAUGGAGAAAGCUGGCCGAAGCCUCUAAUGCCCAAACCCCUCACCCACAAAUGCCUGCAUUAGCGAGUCCCUACUCCGUAAUCCUCCCUGAAAUUCCUUCAGACAUUGCUGUCCCCUCACUGAUGUGCCCUGGGGUACAAUCUCCCGGUGCCCCCCACCAAGUGAGUACCCUUUUAGGUGGAAACCUGACCUGCUUCUCCCCGAGAGCUUCCCCAGCAGGCACGAUGGGUAAGGCCUGUCUGCCCUGGCAGGCGAGAAUUUUUGUACCUGUUACUUACAUAAACUCUUGUUCCAGGGAAUGCUGUGGGUUUGCCAGGUCUGCGUGCAGUGAUAAGAGCGUUUGCCUGUGUCCACCAGGUCUCAUUAUAUAAUGUUGCUGUGUGGAACUUUAAUGGCCCUCUCCACCCAUUGUGUAAUUUCAAGGCCCCUUUUGCGUUGACCAAAUGAAAUAUUAGCCCAGGUCAACCAGAUCUGCUUCCAUUCCUCUAAAUUCAGGGCCUAUUUAUGCCCAGUAAUAAUUAUGCAAAGAGCCCGAGGAUUCUGCUCUUUGAAGUUGUUUCUUUCUCAGCAUCAUCUUUUCUUCUACCUCCCUAUUUGAGCCUUCCAGAUCGCACCCUAAGGCUAAAGUGAAGGGGCAUAGGAAUAUGUUCUUCAGAAAACGUAGGACAGGAUUGACUUGGUUUGCUGGCCAAGUACAGCGGGAAGGCCCCUGGGUUCUGGUACACCACCCACUGUGGUGGUGUGACCACCUGUUUCUCAAGGUAACUUCGACCAGCAUUUUGGAUAGACUCUACCAAAGGGAAAAUUGCUAAUCUUCUCCCCUGCCCCAGACAACCCAGAUGUUGUUUCAGAGAGGAGGGGAAGUUGGCCCUUUAUCAGAGGCAAAGCUAAAGCCUAAGUUAUUUUGUUACCUAAGGGGGAGGGGCUUCUGUGACCCAGCUGGGAACUUUAAUUGGAGAAAUUGACAUUUGGGGGAGAGGUGAGCCCUGCGCAGGUGUAUACCCACAUUUUCCCAUAGAGCCAUAGCCAUGGUGCAUAUUGACAGGAAGAUAACCGGACACGCGCGCACGCACAGACACACACACACAAAGCCCAUCCAUCCAGUCUCCACAGGGAAAUUUUCUCUUUCCCACUAUUGAACUUACAUAAUGCCCACCCCCCAUUCCAACCUUAGCACACAGUUUUUCCUCUGGAGGCAGCUGCAAAGCUUUUUCCCUGGGACAGAUGGAGCCUCCCUUCCUCACUGGCUCUGUGGGUGGCUUUGGUACCCCAUGAGUCAAUAUGGGCUGACUGAGGAGUUGGGUGUGUGUGAGUGUAUGUUGAGGCUUGGCCGGCUGAUUCACACCGAUGAGGAUGUCAAUAGCAAUGAGAAUGAUGAUAUCUAAUAAAGAUUUUUUUUCGCUUCUAA